rnacentral:rRNA from 1 species
UGGCUACCGUAUGAAGACAGCUGAAGACUUUUCUCAAUGAUGUAAGUGGUGGUGCAUGGUCGUUCUUAGUUCGUGGAUUGAUUUGUCUGGUCUAUUCCGAUAACGAGCGAGAUCCUAACGUUCCUAAUAGGGGUCUCAGCCCAGCGACUAGCCAAGCUGACUGCUAGCGGUGAUUCUUUACUUCUUGGACGGAUCAGGGCCGAAAAGGUCCUUGAAAUGGGUUAAUAACAGGUCAGUCAUGCCCUUAGAUGUUCUGGGCCGCACGCGCGUUACAAUGGUAAACAUAGAAAGUGCCUCUUUACGAGCCUUCUGGGGUCUAACGAUGUCAGUAAACAGUAGUCUUUUCCUUGACUGGGCUAGUCUAUUGUAAUUAUUGGUCUUCAACGAGGAAUUUUUAGUAGUCGCAGGUCAUUAACCUGCGACGAAUGCGUCCCUGCCCUUUGUACACACCGCCCGUCGCUGCUACAAUUGGGAAUUUAA